AACGUAGGAGGCUAGCGUUAUUCGGAUUUAUUGGGCGUAAAGCGCGUGCAGGCGGUCUGACAAGUUGGAUGUGAAAGCUCCUGGCUCAACCGGGAGACGUCGUUCAAAACUGUUGGACUAGAGAAUGGGAGAGGGAGGUGGAAUUCCGGGUGUAGUGGUGAAAUGCGUAGAUAUCCGGAGGAACACCAGUGGCGAAAGCGGCCUCCUGGACCAUUUCUGACGCUAAGACGCGAAAGCUAGGGUAGCAAACGGG
rnacentral:rRNA from 1 species